rnacentral:lncRNA from 1 species
AUCCACAUCAAAGACGGUGACCAAGUGCCAUCCCUCUAGACUGUAAGCUCUCUGUGGGCAGAGAACAUGUCCACCAACCCUGUUGAAUUGUACUCUCCCAAGCGCUUAGUACAGUGCCCCCCGACACAGUAAGUGCUCAGCAAAUAUGAUUGAUUGAGGGACCCCCUGUCUUAGCAACCAAAUAUUUGGCAUCUGUGUGUUGAUAUUUUCCAAUUACACUGAAAAUAUUUGGCCUUGGCCAAAGAUUGGUUGGCAUUUAUUUGGCUUUGGCUUCAACUUCUGUCCCUUCACCUUCCAGCACGUUGGAAAAAAAGGCCUCAGUGCCAACAGGAUCCUAUAGAGUAUUCCGAAGAAAUGGAAACAGAUCUUCAGGGUGUCUGCGAUGGAAAACAACUCUAAGGACCAUUGGCCGCUGCAAAAGAGAGACUCCGCUUCUCCCACUUGCCAAUUUCUAGAUCUGAAGUCCAGAGGGUCAGUGGAAAUGCUGAAGGGGCCUCGUGAGCUGGACCGGCAGCUGACCAGUGACUCACUUGAAACCCUCAAACCAAGAUCUCGGAAGUGCAAUGCGACGACGAUGAUGUACCAACAUCUGGUGCUAGAGAAGCAGAAGGGGCAUGGAAGAGGGAGAAGGGAAGAUUUAAUCAAGAGUUUCCAAGAUCUGGACCUCUCUCCACCCUCAACUCCCACCGCCAGCCAAAACUGAGCAGGUCUGUCAAGAAUCUCCAUCAUCAUCAUCGUCAUCAUCAUCAUAAUAACGAUUAUGUUAUUUGUUAUGCCCUCACUCUGUGCCGAGCACUGUUCUAAACCUUGGGGUAGAUACAAGGUAAUCAGGUUGUCCCACACAGGGCUCAUGUUCUUCUUCGCCAUUUUACAGAUGAGGUAACUGAGGCCCAGAGAAGUGAAGUGGCUUGCCCAAGGUCACACAGCAGACAAGUGGCAGAGCCGGGAUUAGAACCCAGGUCCUCUGACUCCCAAGCCCAGGCUCUUUCCAUUAAGCCACGCUGCUUCUCAUCAUCAUCUUCAUCUUCAUCAAUGGUAUUUAUUGAGCGCUUCCCUUCUUUUAAUGGUAUUUGUCAAGUGCCAAGGUGGAUAUGAUACAACCUGAGUUAAGAUCGGCAACAGAAUAUCAGAAAUAUCUUAAAAAUGUAGUCUUAAACAGCAGCAACAGAAAGGAGAGAAUGAUGAUAUUGGAGGAGUUACAGCUAAAAUGGAAUUACUGGUUUGGGGCAAGUUCCUUAAAUAUAGGCAAAGUAAGAAAAAAACUGAACCUUGCUUUUAAAAUGCUCAAAAACUCCCCCAAAGAGGCCACAAAUGAUCAUUUAACCAAAUCACAGAAGCACCCAGAGAUGCUUGAAUUCUAAUCUCAUUUGAAGAGGUCUGGUUAUAAAGCCUUCCAUUUCCCUGGGGAAAUCUGAUUACUGCAUUCUUACAUGCUCUUAAUGUAGUUGAAUUUAAUUUCACCCAACACAAGCGUUUAAGCAAAAAUUUGGUUUAGCCCUUUAGGAACAAUAUUCUAUUACAAAUCAAAGGAAAAUUAACUGAUUAAUGUCGGUUCCUUUAACUAAAAAUAACUAAAUUCAUCUUCUAAGGAAAGGGGAAGCGAUUACUGUAGAACAAGUGAAGCAGCAUGGCCUACUGGACAGAGCUCGGGCCUGGGAGUCAGAGGGCCUGGGUUCUAAUUUGGCUUCUGCCACUUACCUGCUGGGUGACCUUGGGCAAGUUGCUCAACUUCUCUGUGCCUCAGUUUCCUCCACUAUAAAAUAGGGAUUCAAUACUUAGACUGUGAGCCCUGUGAGCCCCAUGUGGGACAGGGACUGACUACUUUUUAUCUACCCCAGUGCUUAAAGCAGUGGUUGACACAUAGUAAACACGUAACAAAUGCCAUUAGAAAAAAAGAAAAUAUUGUAUGGAAAAAAAUACCUUUCCAAAGGGCUACCUUGGCUAGAAUAAGAGCACCACAAAUUUUUCUCAUAAUAGCCAGAAAAUGGUUAAACCAGUGGUGCUUGUUGUGGGCAGGGAAUGUCACUGUUUAUUGUUGUGUUGUACUUUCCCAAGUGCUUAGUACAGUGCUCUGCAUACAGUAAGCACUCAAUAAAUAUGAUCGAAUGAAUGCAUGGUGAUUUGGAGGGGCAUAAAACAGCAAACCUAAACACAUCAGGGAAAGAUUAGUUCUGCCAUCGGCACACACAAAAAAAGGAACACAAAAGAAAGGAAAGAGAAAGAAGAAGAGUAAAGAAGGAAAGAGGAAGAGAAAAAUUACCCAUAUGGAGGACAGUAGUGAAAAAUAACAUGGCAAAUGACAAAUGCACUGACUUUUUUUUUGGUAAUGGAAGGAAAUGCUUAAUCAAAAAAACAAAACAAAAAAAACCAAAUAAGACUUCUUAUUCCUGGUCAUUUUUUACAGGGGGCUUCAAACCAAUAGUCUUUGCUCCUCCCCAGCGAAGUUUAAAUGUCUUACUGGAGAAAACAAUUUUCCAAUUCUUUACUAGGGCAAUCCAGAUAUCGAAAAGCAGCAUAGCCGAGUGGAUAGAGCCAAGACAGUCAGACAGUCAGAGACUAUUGUUGUGACCUUGGGCAAGUCACUUCACUUCUCCGGGCCUCACUGACCUCAUCUGUAAAAUGGGGAUUAAGAGUGUGAGG